GACCCCGCACAAGCGGUGGAUCAUGUUGUUUAAUUCGAAGAUACCCGAAAAACCUUACCAGGUCUUGACAUACUCUGCAAAGCUAUAGAGAUAUAGUGGAGGUUAACAGAGAUACAGGUGGUGCAUGGUUGUCGUCAGCUCGUGUCGUGAGAUGUUGGGUUAAGUCCCGCAACGAGCGCAACCCUUAUUGCUAGUUACCAUCAUUAAGUUGGGGACUCUAGCGAGACUGCCAGUGAUAAACUGGAGGAAGGUGGGGAUGACGUCAAAUCAUCAUGCCCCUUAUGACCUGGGCUACAAACGUGAUACAAUGGCUAAAACAAAGAGAAGCGAAGCAGUGAUGUGGAGCCAAACUCAGAAAAAUAGUCUCAGUUCGGAUUGGAGUCUGCAACUCGACUCCAUGAAGUCGGAAUCGCUAGUAAUCGCAAAUCAGCAUGUUGCGGUGAAUACGUUCUCGGGGUUU
rnacentral:rRNA from 1 species